rfam:Hordeum vulgare subsp. vulgare, WGS project CAJW01000000 data, contig: morex_contig_1568054
CGUUGUGUGGCGCAUUGGCUGGCGCGCCGCGCUUUGAACCGGAGGUCGUGGGUUCUAAUCCCGCCGACGU